GAUGAACGCUGGCUACAGGCUUAACACAUGCAAGUCGAGGGGAAACGACGGGGAAGCUUGCUUCCCCGGGCGUCGACCGGCGCACGGGUGAGUAACGCGUAUCCAACCUGCCUCUGACUGAGGGAUAACCCGUCGAAAGUCGGCCUAAUACCUCAUGGCAUCGUCUGCGGGCAUCCAACGACGAUUAAAGAUUUCCUCGGUCAGGGAUGGGGAUGCGUCUGAUUAGCUUGUUGGCGGGGUAACGGCCCACCAAGGCUACGAUCAGUAGGGGUUCUGAGAGUAAGGUCCCCCACAUUGGAACUGAGACACGGUCCAAACUCCUACGGGAGGCAGCAGUGAGGAAUAUUGGUCAAUGGGCGGGAGCCUGAACCAGCCAAGUAGCGUGCAGGAUGACGGCCCUAUGGGUUGUAAACUGCUGUUAGGCGGGGAUAAAGUGAGGGACGUGUCCUUCAUUGCAGGUACCGCAUGAAUAAGGACCGGCUAAUUCCGUG
rnacentral:rRNA from 1 species